rnacentral:rRNA from 1 species
CGUAGGAGGCAAGCGUUAUCCGGAUUCACUGGGCGUAAAGCGCGUGCAGGUGGCGCGGUAAGUUGGGCGUGAAAUCUCCCGGCUCAACUGGGAGAGGUCGUUCAAUACUACCGUGCUUGAGAGCAGAAGAGGAAGAUGGAAUUCCCGGUGUAGUGGUGAAAUGCGUAGAUAUCGGGAGGAACACCAGUGGCGAAGGCGACCUUCUGGUCUGUUUCUGACACUCAGACGCGACAGCUAGGGUAGUAAACGGGAUUAGAGACCCCGGUAAUCCUAGCCGUAAACGAUGUGAACUUGGCGUUGGUGGGUUAAACUCCAUCAGUGCCGUAGCAAACGCGAUAAGUUCACCGCCUGGGGACUACGGCCGCAAGGUUA